rnacentral:rRNA from 1 species
UACGAGGGGGGCGAGCGUUGUUCGGAAUUAUUGGGCGUAAAGGGUGCGUAGGCGGCCUGACAAGUCUGAUGUGAAAUCCCUGGGCUCAACCCAGGGCCUGCAUCGGAAACUGUCGGGCUUGAGUAUGGCAGAGGUUGGUGGAAUUCCUGGUGUAGUGGUGAAAUGCGUAGAGAUCAGGAGGAACACCGGUGGCGAAGGCGGCCAACUGGGCCGUCACUGACGCUGAGGCGCGAAAGCUCGGGGAGCGAACGGG